GGAGAAGAAGAACUUUGUGUCUCCUCGUAUGGAAGGGAAAGCUAUUCUUCUUUGCCUCAUGGUUAUUGCGCAGCUCGGAAAUUCCAUUCCUGUUGAAAAAUGCUUUACUGGAGUUGUAUUUGGAGACACUUUCUGCACGAAAUUAAAAUGUCAGUUGUCCUGCAUGAGAAAAUGGGGACCCGAAGUCUCGAAAUCUUACUGUAGGGAAGCCAUCCCCAACUUUUGGCAUUGUUGCUGUGUCGUUUGUGACUCCAUGAGAAAAUGAGUUGCACUAGGUCAUGAUGUUCAACGAUGGAUAAUGAUGUGGUCUAGUAAUAAAACCUUCUUCUGACA